UACGUAGGGGGCUAGCGUUGUCCGGAAUCAUUGGGCGUAAAGAGCGCGUAGGCGGCCAGAUAAGUCCGGUGUGAAAGUCAAAGGCUCAACCUUUGAAUGCCGCUGGAAACUGUCUGGCUAGAGUCCGGGAGGGGCGAGUGGAAUUCCCGGUGUAGCGGUGAAAUGCGCAGAUAUCGGGAGGAACACCUAUGGCGAAGGCAGCUCGCUGGGACGUUACUGACGCUGAGACGCGAAGGCGUGGGGAGCAAACAGG
rnacentral:rRNA from 1 species